UGUGCCAGCAGNCGCGGUAAUACAUAGGGGNCAAGCGUUNUCCGGAAUUAUUGGGCGUAAAGGGUGCGUAGGCGNUUAAAUAAGUUUAUGGUCUAAGUGCAACGCUCAANGUNGUGAUGCUAUAAAAACUGUUUAGCUAGAGUUGGAUAGAGGCAAGUGNNAUUCCGUGUGUAGUGGUAAAAUGCGUAAAUAUACGGAGGAACACCAGAAGCGAAGGCGGCUUNNUGGGUCUUAACUGACGCUGAGGCACGAAAGCGUGGGGAGCAAACAGGAUUAGAUACCCUGGUAGUCCACGCCCUAAACGAUGAGUACUAAACGUUGGAUAAAACCAGUGUUGAAGUUAACACAUUAAGUACUCCGCCUGAGUAGUACGUACGCNNNUNUGAAACUUAAAGGAAUUGACGGGACUCCGCACAAGCGGUGGAUCAUGUUGUUUAAUUCGAAGGUACCCGAAAAACCUCACCAGGUCUUGACAUGCUUUUGCAAAGCUGUAGAAAUACAGUGGAGGUUAUCAGAAGCACAGGUGGUGCAUGGUUGUCGUCAGCUCGUGUCGUGAGAUGUUGGGUUAAGUCCCGCAACGAGCGCAACCCUUGUUGUUAAUUGCCAUCAUUAAGUUGGGGACUUUAGCAAGACUGCCAAUGAUAAAUUGGAGGAAGGUGGGGACGACGUCAAAUCAUCAUGCCCCUUAUGACCUGGGCUACAAACGUGAUACAAUGGCUGUUACAAAGGGUAGNUAAAGCGUAAGCUUCUGGCGAAUCUCAAAAAAGCAGUCUCA
rnacentral:rRNA from 1 species